ACGGUGUCGUUUUGCAGCGUAAUGAAGAGAAAUUCCAAAUUGAUGAUAAAGGUUCCUUCUUGCCACUUGGGUAUGUUCGACUCUGACAUUUUUCUAUAUGCUAUCCUCUUUCCCAAUCCCCAAUCGCAUGUGUUUUGUUAUGUUAUUAUGAAGUACUGGACCGUGUUGAUAACUAAUGCAUCAUGCAUUCUAUUAUAUUUGUAAGUCAUACACUCAUUUUAAGCCAAUCAAUCUUUUUCAAUCUAUGUAGUAAUAUUUCUAUAUUGUGAGAGACACCACUGAUUAACUUUUAAUCUUUACCUUAUAUAUGUGUGUUUUUGUAUGACUUUGACUUAAUAAGGUGGUUCUUCUUAGCACUUGGACAAAAUUGUGGUUGGAAGGUAAUUUAAGGUGGUAAGAUAAGUUCCUAUCGAAAACUAGGUAUAUAUAUAUUGUUGAAGCUCUAUUAUUGUUGGCCCUUCCAACAAAACUGAAAGGUACAGUGGCAUCUGCGUUUGUAGAAAUUAGUGCAGAUCAAAAGUAGGUGGUGGGUAGUGCGAGGUCAGUUCUUGGCAUCACACUGGGGACUAGGGAUUCCUCGACAUCUGGUUCUGCUUGUGAACGUGAUGUUUGUAUAUAUUUUCUUUGUCCUUUCACUGUGACCAUUCUAUUAGGAUCUCCCACGUAUACGCUGAGGAAUAUGUAUGAGAAAGCUAUACUAUGCCAUCCUCCCCUUUGACAGAUAUUUAUAUCAGUGUUUUGGUGUCUUGCAACCUCCUUAUUAAGAAGAAUUUGAGUUAGAUGAGGAAAUGUUUUGUAGAAGCUUUUGAUUCACUUCGUAGCUAGACUAAUUGGGUAUAGAAAUUAUUUCAUGCAUUGCACAGAAAUUAAAUAACAGUCUUACAUAAUUGCAGGGAUUUAUAGUGACUCUUGUUUGUUUAUUCAUUUAUGGAUUACAGUCUAAGAAAUCUUCGAGGAGUAAACAUACACAAAUCAUUAACAUACAUAUUUACAUGAUCUAUCAUUCUUUUUUUAUUUUUAUACACAUUUCAAAUUCAAAUUCCCUGCCUGGUUUUUCUUACCCUGUUUAUUUUUUUCCUUUUUAGGAGCUUUUUGUGGUUAAGUGCCAUUUUUAUUUAUUUCAUUUUUAGAGUCUUAGAUUAUGAUUUGUAGAAAAAUAACUUGUUUCUCAUAACUUUUGCUCAAAUAAUAUUUUCGGAUUCCUAACAGAAAAUCAAAUACACUAUAACUUGUUUAUGGAUCAAGCAAUCUGAGAUGCCUUUAUUGGUUUGGUUUAAUAAACUAAAAUACAUCAUUACUCUUGUACUUGAAUUGAGAUACCUAGUAUAACUCAAAUGCAAACACUUUUAUUAUACACACUUUUAUUACUCACCUCUUUGUAUUGGUCUGACUGAACUAUAUCCAACUUAAUGUUAUUU
rnacentral:lncRNA from 1 species